GCUGGAUUCGCUAGUAAUCGCGCAUCAGCCACGGNGCGGUGAAUACGUUCCCGGGCCUUGUACACACCGCCCGUCAAGCCAUGGAAGCCGGGAGUGCCUGAAGUGCGUGAGCGCAAGCAGCGCCCUAAGGUAAAAACCGGUGACUGGGGCUAAGUCGUAACAAGGUAAC
rnacentral:rRNA from 1 species